CCUCAGGCCCAGACAGGAGGGCAGAGGGGCAAGACCUUGGCCUCCCCUCCGUUCCUCGGGGAUCAUCCAUCUUUUUUCUCCAGAGAGCAAAGCCAUUCGGAAACUAUUCACACACCAUCACCUCCUGGAGAAGGCAGAUUCCACUCCAUGGGAAAAUGGGCAUCAUUGGGCAGCAGCAGGAGGCCGAGGAAGACACAAGAGCACAGGAUCAGAAGGAGUACUGGGGAUUGGACCCAGGACCUCAUGCAUGCUAAGCACGUGAUCCACCGCUGAACUAUACCGUCCCCUCUAUAACUGGAUUUUCUAAAAAAACCACCUGAUAAACAUUUGCUCACUGACUAUUUACUCCCUCCCUUCUUAAUUAAGAGGUGGGUUCCCAUUUUCAAAUAGGAAUAAUUUCAUUGUAGGAGGGGAGAUUUUUUUGCAAGCUAUUCAA